rnacentral:rRNA from 1 species
UGGGGAAUUUUGGACAAUGGGCGCAAGCCUGAUCCAGCCAUGCCGCGUGCGGGAAGAAGGCCUUCGGGUUGUAAACCGCUUUUGUCAGGGAAGAAAUCUUCUGAGUUAAUACCUCGGGAGGAUGACGGUACCUGAAGAAUAAGCACCGGCUAACUACGUGCCAGCAGCCGCGGUAAUACGUAGGGUGCAAGCGUUAAUCGGAAUUACUGGGCGUAAAGCGUGCGCAGGCGGUUUUGUAAGACAGAGGUGAAAUCCCCGGGCUCAACCUGGGAACUGCCUUUGUGACUGCAAGGCUUGAGUGCGGCAGAGGGGGAUGGAAUUCCGCGUGUAGCAGUGAAAUGCGUAGAUAUGCGGAGGAACACCGAUGGCGAAGGCCAAUCCCCUGGGCCUGCACUGACGCUCAUGCACGAAAGCGUGGGGAGCAAACAGGAUUAGAUACCCCUGGUAGUCCACGCCCUAAACGAUGUCAACUGGUUGUUGGGAAGGUUCCUUCUCAGUAACGUAGCUAACGCGUGAAGUUGACCGCCUGGGGAGUACGGCCGCAAGGUUGAAACUCAAAGGAAUUGAC